GACGGGUGAGUAACGCGUGGGUGACCUGCCCAUAAGUGGGGAAUAACAGUUGGAAACGACUGCUAAUACCGCAUAAGCUGAGCAAUCAGUAAAGGAGGCUUAACAGCUUCCGCUUAUGGAUGGGCCCGCGUCUGAUUAGCUAGUUGGUGGGAUAAAAGCCUACCAAGGCCACGAUCAGUAGCCGGCCUGAGAGGGUGGACGGCCACACUGGGACUGAGACACGGCCCAGACUCCUACGGGAGGCAGCAGUGGGGAAUAUUGCGCAAUGGGGGAAACCCUGACGCAGCGACGCCGCGUGAGCGAAGAAGGCCUUAGGGUCGUAAAGCUCUGUUUUAAGGGACGAAAAUUCACAGGAGUAACUGUCUGUGAAGUGACGGUACCUUAAGAGAAAGCCCCGGCUAACUACGUGCCAGCAGCCGCGGUAAGACGUAGGGGGCGAGCGUUGUCCGGAAUUACUGGGCGUAAAGAGCACGUAGGCGGGAUAACAAGUCAGGUGUGAAAGACCGUGGCUCAACCACGGGGUUGCAUUUGAAACUGUAAUUCUUGAGGGCAGGAGAGGAAAGUGGAAUUCCUGGUGUAGCGGUGAAAUGCGUAGAAAUCAGGAGGAACACCGGUGGCGAAGGCGACUUUCUGGACUGACCCUGACGCUGAGGUGCGAAAGCGUGGGUAGCAAACAGGAUUAGAUACCCUGGUAGUCCACGCUGUAAACGAUGGAUACUAGGUGUGGGAGGUAUCGACCCCUUCCGUGCCGCAGCAAACGCAAUAAGUAUCCCGCCUGGGGAGUACGGUCGCAAGGCUGAAACUCAAGGAUUGACGGGGGCCAAGCACAA
rnacentral:rRNA from 1 species